rnacentral:rRNA from 1 species
UACAGAGGUCCCAAGCGUUGUUCGGAUUCAUUGGGCGUAAAGGGUGCGUAGGUGGCGUCGUAAGUCGGGUGUGAAAUCUCGGGGCUUAACUCCGAAACUGCAUUCGAUACUGCGGUGCUUGAGGACUGGAGAGGAGACUGGAAUUUACGGUGUAGCAGUGAAAUGCGUAGAGAUCGUAAGGAAGACCAGUGGCGAAGGCGGGUCUCUGGAAAGUUCCUGACACUGAGGCACGAAGGCCAGGGAGCAAACGGG